rnacentral:lncRNA from 1 species
UGAUAAAGGUGUGUUUUCGUAACGGGCAGACGACAGAAUUCACUUUAAAUUAACAUUUGUUCUUAUGGGAGUGUUCACCCAUCGGCAGAAAGUUGAGCAGAAAAAAAGAACUGUUCAAAUCAGAGACGAACUGUCGUUCAUUUCGCCGUUCAUUUUAAGGCCUAUCAUCACAAUGCUAUUUUGCUUCGACCGAUCACUGCUCGUGAACCGUUUUGUCGAAAAAGAACUAAUAUCGGGAUUCUGUCGACGGGAACAGACAGCUUCGAAAUAUUUUUCUGCUCUGAUCACGUGACACCGGCAGAAGAAUCUUUCUCUGGAUCAGACGCCAUGUUCUUUUUAACCUCAAUCUUUAAUUUUUGGAUGGUUUGUUUUGAUAUAUUAUUUUGCUGUUGGUUGUCAGAUUUCGGAUUGCUACUAUUAUACUGUGAAAUUAAUUUGUAGUAGAAAAUUGAGGUAUAAAAUAUUUCCAUUGGUUUCUUUAUUUUUAUAAUUUUUACAAGAGAAAUUGAAAAUGGAUUUACAACCGAAAGGCGUAAAAUUCGUUAUAAAUUGAUGCGACAGUUCAAAGUUUUGUACUUUCCAGACCUGCACAACGAAUUACCUAUUUGAAAAAUAGAAAAUGGUUAAAAAUUGCUGAUGUGAUAGAGGAUUCAAGUACCAUUUACAAACAAAAUAUUGAAGAGAAUGUGCUCGAAAGGAAAUUCAUAUGAAUUCUUUUUUGUUGACCAGGAUGGAAAAAGUCAUUGGAACUCAUAGUUAGAAUAAGAAUAAGUUAGGCCUAGAGGUGUACCAGCCAGAAGUAGAGGAUGACAAAGAAAAUCAACUAUGAAUAAUAUUCCAUGGAUAUGAUUCAUGUAUGAUGUAGUAACCUACAGAAGAAAGAGAUGGACUAAUCUAAGAAUAUAUUCAUUUUUUCA